UGAGGAAAACAUGGUGGACCUGACAAAAUUAGAUCGCUGUCUCCAGGCCCGACAGAGCCAUAUGGCCUAGUUCUCCAGUGCUGAGUGAAUGCUUCCUCACCUGGGCUCCAGGAUCUUCAUUCCAUGGACCCUGUAUCAUCCUGUGACCAGUUCUGUGACCUGAUUUCCAUCACUAUCGUCCAUGAAGGCAUUAUCUCUGAAUCUUCAGGAUCUUCUCUAAUUGUCUAGAUAGACUUUUCAAUUCCCCCAAAAUCAAAGGUUUCCUCCAAAUUCCCGAUUCUCUUCACCAUACUCAGAAAUCUACCAUGAAUACAACCUCCUGUAUCUGAUCAAUAAAUGAUUAGUUUACAAUCAUGUGAUUGUCUUGUGUAUGUGAGAAACCUGGGGCUGAUAGCAAGUGAGUGACCCCAUUCCUUGGCCCUGUGCCCAUAAUGGUCCUU